rnacentral:misc_RNA from 1 species
UUUAUUUCCAGAGACCCAUCAAUGGACAGUGUACUUCCGGCGUUAACUGAACAUUGUCCUAUCCAAAAAAAUGAUGAAUUUUAAGGAAGUGUACAGACCGAUCCGUCUUACAAUGCUACAGAUGUUCAGUAACUGUAGAGAAGUAUUUUGUUGACAAUGCAACAGUUAUGACACCCUUGUGCUCCAAAUUCCAGGAGUCCUCAAUUUAUAUGGUCCAGUGUCCAUAUUCUACGAUGUGUUUAAAAACGAUCUCUAACUUACAUCUUCAAAAUGGACAGAUGCAAGAAACCGUAACAAGAGGUUUUGCACAGCAGAAGAACACUACUCAGGUAUUUCGCAAUAAGCAGUGGGAGCAGGAGCACUUAGUGCAGGAAGUGUAUAAGGAAGGCUGCACUGAAAUUCCGGCCAACAACUUGGCGGGAUCAAAAAAUGUUCACUUCAAUUCAUCAAAUUUCUUAAGUCUUGAAAGAAAACUGCUAAGCAUGAUUAUUUUAUUCAAUGUGAUCCCAUUUUGGUGUCCCACACAACUAUAUAAUUUAAAUGUGUUUAAUUAACAGUUGUGAUAAUUUAUAAAUAAACUAUCA